GUGCUCGCUUCGGUAGCACAUAUACUAAAAUUGGAACCAUACAGAGAAAAUUAGUAUGGCCCCUGUGCAAGGAUGACACACAAAUUCGUGAAGCAUUCCAUAUUUUU
rnacentral:snRNA from 1 species